UACGUAGGGGGCGAGCGUUGUCCGGAUUUACUGGGCGUAAAGAGCGCGCAGGCGGUCGUUCAAGUCGAGUGUGAAAGCCCCCGGCUCAACUGGGGAGGGUCAUUCGAUACUGAUCGACUCGAAGGCAGGAGAGGGAAGCGGAAUUCCCGGUGUAGUGGUGAAAUGCGUAGAUAUCGGGAGGAACACCAGUGGCGAAGGCGGCUUCCUGGCCUGUUCUUGACGCUGAGGCGCGAAAGCUAGGGGAGCAAACGGG
rnacentral:rRNA from 1 species